rnacentral:rRNA from 1 species
AACGAACGCUGGCGGCAUGCCUAACACAUGCAAGUCGAACGCGACCUUCGGGUCUAGUGGCGCACGGGUGCGUAACGCGUGGGAAUCUGCCCUUGGGUUCGGAAUAACAGUUAGAAAUGACUGCUAAUACCGGAUGAUGUCUUCGGACCAAAGAUUUAUCGCCCAGGGAUGAGCCCGCGUAGGAUUAGCUUGUUGGUGGGGUAAAGGCCUACCAAGGCGACGAUCCUUAGCUGGUCUGAGAGGAUGAUCAGCCACACUGGGACUGAGACACGGCCCAGACUCCUACGGGAGGCAGCAGUGGGGAAUAUUGGACAAUGGGCGAAAGCCUGAUACAGCAAUGCCGCGUGAGUGAUGAAGGCCUUAGGGUUGUAAAGCUCUUUUACCCGGGAUGAUAAUGACAGUACCGGGAGAAUAAGCCCCGGCUAACUCCGUG